rnacentral:rRNA from 1 species
AUUGAACGCUGGCGGCAGGCUUAACACAUGCAAGUCGAGCGGGGGAAGGUAGCUUGCUACCGGACCUAGCGGCGGACGGGUGAGUAAUGCUUAGGAAUCUGCCUAUUAGUGGGGACAACAUCUCGAAAGGGAUGCUAAUACCGCAUACGUCCUACGAGAGAAAGCAGGGGAUCUUCGGACCUUGUGCUAAUAGAUGAGCCUAAGUCGGAUUAGCUAGUUGGUGGGGUAAAGGCCUACCAAGGCGACGAUCUGUAGCGGGUCUGAGAGGAUGAUCCGCCACACUGGGACUGAGACACGGCCCAGACUCCUACGGGAGGCAGCAGUGGGGAAUAUUGGACAAUGGGGGGAACCCUGAUCCAGCCAUGCCGCGUGUGUGAAGAAGGCCUUAUGGUUGUAAAGCACUUUAAGCGAGGAGGAGGCUACUCUAGUUAAUACCUAGGGAUAGUGGACGUAACUCGCAGAAUAAGCACCGGCUAACUCUGUGCCAGCCGCCGCCGUAA